AUGUCCAGCGCCCACGGCGGAGCCAUGGACGCCCGCAGCGGCUACUGCGCAACAACCAAGUCAUUCCGCAGUCUCCGCCCACCGCUGCCUCUGCCACCAGCGGACGUCCCACUCACAUUCCCUGCCUUCGCGCUGUCGCUGCUGCCGUACCCUCUCCCCGCCCACCCCGCGCUCCUCGACGCCGCCACCGGCGAGUCCGUCUCCUACCCGGCGUUCCUGUCCCAGGUGCGCGCGCUCGCGGCCGCCCUGCGCUCGCGCGCGCUCCCGGUCGGCCGCGGCGACGUGGCCUUCGUCCUUGCCCCCACGCGGCUCGACGUGCCCGUGCUCUACUUCGCGCUCCUCGCCGUCGGCGUCGCCGUGUCCCCGGCCAACCCGGCCCUCACCGCCGGCGAGGUGUCUCGCCUCGUCUCCCUGUCCGGCGCCUCCGUCGCCUUCGCGGUCUCGUCCACCGCCGCCAAGCUCCCCGCCGGCCUCCCCACCGUCCUCCUCGACUCCCCGCACUUCCGCUCCCUCUUGAACAACGACCAAGGGGAGAACGAGUCGGCCCCGCUCGACGCCGGUGCGGUGCGCCAGUCCGCGACAGCGACCAUCCAGUACUCCUCCGGCACGUCAGGGCGGGUGAAGGCGGUGGCCCUGUCGCACAGGAGCUUCAUAGCGAUGGGGGCGGGGCUGCACGCCCAGCACGUGAAGUCGAGGAAGGGCGUCGAGAGGAAUCUGAUGAGUGCUCCCAUGUUCCACUCCAUGGGUUUCUCGUCCGUGCUCAACGGGCUGGCGCAGGGGCUUACGAUGGUCGUGAUUACGGCCGCGGCCGCGCGGGCAGGGUUGAGGGGGAUGCUGGAGGCAGCGGAGCGGUGGGAGGUCACGGAGAUCAUGGCGGCGCCUCCCUUGCUGCUGGGCAUAACCAAAGACAGGUGCCGGCUGAAGAGUCUGGUGCGGGUGGUCUGCGGCGGCGCCCCUCUGCCGACGUCGGUGGCGGAGCAGUUCCGUCGGCGCUUCCCUCACGUGGAUCUACGCACGGGUUAUGGCUCAACUGAGGCUGGGGUCGUAUCCGUGAUGGUCGACCGGGACGAGUGCUCCCACGUAGGCUCCGCCGGCCGCAUCUUCCACGGCAUCGAGGCGAAGAUCAUCGACAUCGUCACCGGCGAGCACUUGUCCAUCGGGCAGAAAGGGGAGCUGUGUUUGAGAAGCCCUUUCAUCAUGACAGGCUACGUAGGCGACGACGAGGCGACCGCAGCCGCUUUCGAUUCGGAAAGCUGGCUGAAGACCGGCGACCUUUGCUACAUUGAUCAGGAUGGGUUUCUGUUCGUGGUGGACAGGCUCAAGGAGCUCAUCAAGUACAAGGCCUAUCAGGUCGCGCCUGUAGAGCUGGAGCUUAUCCUUCAAUCGUUGCCAGAAAUUGUUGAUGCUGCAGUUAUGCCAUAUCCUCACGAAGAGGCGGGAGAGAUACCCAUGGCGCUCGUGGUGAGGCAACCCGGUAGCAAGAUCACUGAGGCACAAGUCAUGGAGCAUGUGGCGAAGCAGGUGGCGCCGUACAAGAAGGUCCGCAAGGUGCUCUUCAUCGACUCCAUACCCAGAUCGCCGGCCGGGAAGAUCUUGAGAAGGCAGUUGUCCAGCCAUCUGUCCAGACUGUGA
rnacentral:rRNA from 1 species